GUUUUCAUUGGAGGUUUUUGAAGAUCAAGGGAAUUAGAGAGAGGAGCUUCAUACUUCGGGUCGGGGAAGGAAAGACAUAGAAUUUGGAUUUUUCUUCUUCGUAGAAUUAUGGGAAGACUGAGGCAAUCGCUGCUGAAGUCAGUGUUGUAAUGGUGAAUCGGGAUUUUUUAAAUGAAGUGGGUUUGAAUACUCUUGACUGUUUUAUAAAAUCGAGUUACGUCUGUGAUUGAAGGAUUAAAGGGGUGUCUAU
rnacentral:lncRNA from 1 species